AGCUCCAAUAGCGUAUAUUAAAGUUGUUGCAGUUAAAAAGCUCGUAGUUGGAUUUCUGGCAGAGUGACUCCGGCCGGCUGAUGCUUGGUCAGGGGCGCCCUACCAUCCUUCGGUCAACCUUUUCGGAAUUCAUUUUCCGGGCUGGGGCUCCGAUAUUUUACCUUGAGAAAAUUAGAGUGUUUCAGGCAGGCUAUCGCCGGAAUACAUUAGCAUGGAAUAAUGGAAAAGGACUACUACCUCUUCUGUUGGUCUGGGAGGCAGCAGUAAUGAUUAAUAGGGAUAGUUGGGGGCAUUAGUACUUAACUGUCAGAGGUGAAAUUCUCCGAUUUGUUAAAGACUAACUUAUGCGAAAGCAUUUGCCAAGGAUGUUUUCA
rnacentral:rRNA from 1 species